CAGCAGUGAGGAAUAUUGGUCAAUGGCYUAACGGCUGAACCAGCAACUUGGAGGAAUGUAUAGCAAUAGCUACUUGCAUCAUUGUACAGAUGAUGCAAGAUCGACUAUGUCGAAUAAAAUUCUAGGUAGAAUCAUGAUAAUGACAUUGUCUGCCUAUGUGUCUUGACCAAAUUACGUGCCAGCAGUCGCGGUAAUACGUAGAAGACUAGUGUUAUUCAUGUUUAAUCGGUUUAAAGGGUACCUAGACGGUAAAUCAAGCCUAUAAAUAAGGGACUAAUUUACUAGAGUUACUUACGAGGGGGUAUUAAAGUACUGCUGGUGUAGAGAUGAAAUUCUGUCAUACCUCUUUUCAAAAGAAAAAUAACGGCACAGGUAAAGGCGAAAGCAUCCCCUUAUGUGAUAACUGACGUUGAGGGACGAAGGCUUUGUGUAGCGAACAGGAUUAGAUACCCCAGUAGUCAAAGCAGAAAAUGAUGAAUGUCAUAGAUUAGAUAGAUAAGUUUAUUCUAUAAAUGAAAGUGUAAGCAUUCCACCUCAAGAGUAAUUUGGCAACAUUGGAACUGAAAUCAUUAGACCGUUUCUGAAACCAGUAGUGAAGUAUGUUAUUUAAUUCGAUGAUCCGC
rnacentral:rRNA from 1 species